rnacentral:sRNA from 1 species
CUCUAAUAGUCUAUCUAGUGACUUGAUGUACAGACAGUCUCUGACUUACAAUUGUUUAACUUAGAGUUUUUGACUUUACAAGGGUGAGAAAGCAUGUGUAUUCAGUAGAAACCACACUUUAAAUUUUGAAUUUUGAUUUUUUUCCCUGGCUAGUGAUAUGCAAUACAAGACUCCCAAGAUUCUGGGCAGUGGCAGGGAGGCGCAGCUUCUAGUCUGCCACAUGAUCACAAUGAAAGCCUGACAGGUUUCUUCGGAAAAGUGGCCAUCCAUGGAAUGAAUGAAAUGUUCUCUUUCUAUUCCACCUCUAGAGACCAUCAAAAAACAAUGGCUUAUAAUGCUUUUAGAACAGAAACUGAAGUUGUGUACUGUGCAUGUGUAAUCCUACACAAGAGGAAGGCAAUGUUUAAAGCUGCUGUCACCUCUUAGGGAAAAAACUGGAAUUCUGAGUCAAGGGAUUGCAGUGGCAAAGCUAGGCUAGGUCUUGGAGGCUGGUGUAAGGCGAUGCGGGUGAAGGCAGGAGGCUGAUGGAGAGACUGGGGGGAAGAAAAGCCGAAAUGGAUUCACGGUGCCUUGGAUGAAGGACGAGAGGGGAACUGCAAGCUCCUUCAACUGGUUCUGUCCGGUGAGAAGUGAUCAAGCUUGGGCUGACAAGAGGCUCAGGGAGCCCUCACGUUCUUUCGCUUUUUUACCUGCCAAUCAAACUGCUACAAGACAACACCCUGAUCUGGCAUGGACAU